GACGAACCGUCCAAACGUUAUUCGGAAUCACUGGGCUUACAGAGUUCGUAGGCGGUCCCAAAAGUUAGGUGUGAAAUCCCUCGGCUCAACCGAGGAACUGCGCUUAAAACUGUGGGACUCGAGGGAGAUAGAGGAAAGCGGAACUGAUGGUGGAGCGGUGAAAUGCGUUGAUAUCAUCAGGAACACCGGUGGCGAAGGCGGCUUC
rnacentral:rRNA from 1 species